rnacentral:rRNA from 1 species
CGCGGCUCUAUCAGCUUGUUGAGAUAGGUGACGGCUCUCCAAGGCAUCAACGGGUAAUUGGUCUGACAGGAUGAUCACCCACACUGGGACUGAGACACGGCCCAGACUCCUACGGGAGGUAGCUCUGCACAAUCUUGCUCCUUGGGCGAAAGCCUGAUGCAGAAACGCCCCUUGCGGGAUGAUGGUCCUACGGUUGUAUACCGCUUUCACUACGGAAGAAAAUGACGGUUUCUACUCAACAAGGUGCGGCCAACUACGUGCCAGCAGCCGCGGUGACACGUUGGCACCAAGCAUUAUCCGGAUUUAUUGGGCAUACAGAGCUCAUAUGCUGUUUGCUAAUUCGGGUGUAAAAACUCUGGGCCCAACCCAUAAAGGCCACCGCAUACUGCUAUGACUAGAGUACGGUAGGGGAGCGGGCAAUUCAUGGUGUCCCGCUGAAAUGGGCAUAUAUCAUGAGGAACACCAGCGGCCAACGCGCCGCUCUGGCCCGUAGCUGACGCUGAUUAGCGAAAACUUGGUGAUGCUACCUGAUUAAAUACCCUGGUAGUCCAUGCCGUAAACGUUGGCCACUAUCGUGUGGGUCUCAACCAACGAGAUCCGCGCCGUCGCUAACGCAUUAAGUGCCCCGCCUGGGGAGUACGG